GGCGGAGCGGCAAGAGCGGCCGCCGGGGAAACUGCGGCGGCAGCGGCGGCGGCAGCAGAGAUCCGCACCCCCGGGCCGGCCCGCGAACUAACCCCGAGCAGGGCGUCCAUGGGGCGCCGCCUCCACCUGGCCCCGACCCCGACCGUGACCCCAGCCGGCGGUGCACGCCUGUCCUGACCUGGACUUGGAGUUUCUGCAGAGAAUCGCGUGUCCCGAAGAGGUGUUGGAGAGCACCAUGGCUGAGCAACUCCUUCCUCUGGCUUUGUAUUUGAGCAAUAUGCGGAAAGCUGUGAAGAUAAGAGAGAGAACUCCAGAAGAUAUUUUUAAACCUACCAAUGGAAUCAUUCACCAUUUUAAAUCCAUGCACCGGUACACGCUGGAAAUGUUCAGAACUUGCCAGUUUUGUCCACAGUUUCGGGAGAUCAUCCACAAUGCUCUCAUCGACAGAAACAUCCAGGCCUCCCUGGAAAGCCAGAAGAAGCUCAACUGGUGCCGAGAAGUCAGGAAGCUUGUGGCGCUGAAAACAAAUGGUGACGGAAACUGCCUCAUGCACGCUGCUUCCCAGUACAUGUGGGGUGUUCAGGACACAGACUUGGUCCUGAGGAAGGCGCUCUUCAGCACCCUCAAGGAGACGGACACCCGCAACUUUAAAUUCCGCUGGCAGCUGGAGUCUCUUAAGUCUCAGGAAUUCGUGGAAACGGGGCUUUGCUACGAUACCCGGAACUGGACUGAUGAAUGGGACAGCCUUGUCAAAAUGGCAUCCACGGACAUACCAGUGGCCCGCAGUGGACUGCAGUAUAAUUCACUGGAAGAAAUACACAUAUUUGUCCUUUGCAACAUCCUCAGAAGGCCGAUCAUUGUCAUUUCAGACAAAAUGUUGAGAAGUUUGGAAUCGGGUUCCAAUUUCGCUCCUUUGAAGGUGGGCGGAAUUUACUUGCCUCUCCACUGGCCUGCCCAGGAAUGCUACAGAUACCCCAUCAUUCUCGGCUACGACAGCCAACACUUUGUACCCCUGGUGACCAUGAAGGACAGUGGACCUGAAAUCCGAGCUGUUCCACUUGUUAACAGAGAGAGAGGAAGAUUCGAAGACUUAAAAGUUCACUUUUUGACAGAUCCUGAAAAUGAGAUGAAGGAAAAGCUCCUGAAAGAGUACUUGAUGGUGAUAGAAAUCCCUGUUCAAGGCUGGGACCAUGGCACCACCCAUUUAAUUAACGCUGCAAAGUUGGAUGAAGCUAACUUACCCAAAGAAAUAAACCUGGUAGAUGAUUACUUUGAACUUGUCCAGCACGAGUACAAGAAGUGGCAGGAAAACCAUGAGCAGGGGCGGAGAGACACGCACCCCCAGAAUCCUUUGGAACCUUCCGUCCCCCAGCUUUCUCUCAUGGACAUCAAAUGCGAAACGCCCAACUGCCCUUUCUUCAUGUCCGUGAACACCCAGCCUUUGUGCCACGAGUGCUCGGAGAGGCGGCAAAAGAAACAAACCAAAGCCCCAAAGCCCAACUCCAAGCCGGGCCCUGAAGCGCUGCCCCGCCUGGUGCUCGGGGCCUCCCGGGGGGAGGCCUGGAGCCCCGAGGAGCCCGCCGGGGGUCCCCACUCAGCCCCUCCGACAGCACCCAGCCUCUUCCUGUUCAGCGAGACCACGGCCAUGAAGUGUAGGAGCCCCGGCUGCCCUUUCACCCUCAACGUGCAGCACAAUGGCUUCUGCGAGCGAUGCCACAACGCCCGGCAGCUUCCCGCGGGCCACCCCUCGGACCCUGCGCAGCAUCUCGACCCUGGCAAGUGCCGAGCCUGCCUCCAGGACGUCACCAGGACGUUUAAUGGGAUCUGCAGUGCUUGCUUUAAAAGGACUACAGCCGAGCCCGCCCCGAACCUCAGCUCGAGCAGCCCCCUCUCCUGCCACCAGCGCUCCAAGUCUGACCCCUCACAGCUCGCACAGAGCCUCUCCCCGCACGCCUGCCGCAGAGCCGGGCCUGAGGCUCCCUCUGGCCACCGCUCCUCGGCCGCACGGACUCCAGGGGACAGGACAGGGACAAGCAAGUGCAGGAAAGCGGGCUGCAUGUACUUUGGGACUCCAGAGAACAAAGGCUUCUGCACGCUGUGUUUCAUCGAGUACAGAGAAAAUAAACAUUUUGUCCCUGCCUCAGGGAAAGCCAGCCCCACGGCCUCCAGGUUCCAGAACACUGUCCCCUGCCUGGGCAGGGAAUGCGGCGCCCUCGGAAGCAGUGUGUUUGAAGGAUACUGUCAGAAGUGUUUCAUCGAAGCUCAGAACCAGAGAUUUCAUGAAGCGAAAAGGACUGAAGAGCAGCUGAGGGCGAGCCAGCACAGAGACUUGCCCCGAGCCACCCAGAGCACCUCCUGGUCCAAGUGCACGCGGGCCACCUGCAGGAACAUGCUGGCCUGCUGCAACCAGGAGCUGUGCAUGGAGUGCCAGCACCUCGGCCAGCGCGUGGCCGCCAGUGCCCGGCGGCCCGAGCCCGUCCCUGAGGAGCCCCCCACGCAGCGCUGCCGGGCCCCCGCCUGUGAGCACUUCGGCAACGCCAAGUGCAACGGCUACUGCAACGAGUGCUUUCAGUUCAAGCAGAUGUACGGCUAACCUGACCCAGGGGGCCAGCCCCAGCCCGGAGGGGCCUGGAGCCUUAGCCCGCGUGGCGCUGUGCUCCCAGCGCCCCGGUGCCACCCGAGGGUCCGGCCCUGCACGGUGGGCCAGGGUGUCUCUGAGCAGGGCAAGAAAGAAGCUCUCGGUCACCGGCCUGGAAUCUGAGCAAAGUGUGUGACUGGCCGCGGGUUGUGUGGGCUUCAGCCCGCGCCUCUCCUUCCAAGCAGGCGGCCAGGAACCUCAUGGACUCAGAACGCGUGCCAGGACUGCUGCCUCAUCUUUAGAGAAAAGGGAAAAGACGCAGGUCAGGCGGGCUGGGAAACUCGGAGCCAGUCCCCCUGCCCUCCAUCAGCAUUUCUCGGAGAUGGGGAGCUGAGGCCCACAGGCCCUGUGCCGGAAGCUCGGGAAGCUCAGGGAUAACGGGCAGGCUCAAAGUGCCGGUCGUUCACGGUUUCGCCCUACCUGCGUCGUUCCUUCCCCACGGACACGGCAAAACCGUCCACAGACUGUGAUGCUGAGGCUGCUGAGACUGAACAAGUCCACGGUGAAAAGCACACCAGCUGCUCUUUACAAUAUGCACCUUGUAAGACCCAGAAUAUUCUCAGUGGGCAGAUGUGUAACUCUUUUGGUUAUCACUGUCUUUACUUCUAAAGCUUAACUUGAACUGAGGGGCAAGCACGACUCGUAGACACAGCCCGCCUGAACUCCACCAGCAGACUCUUGUGUCUGUGUAAUCACUUUAUUUAUUUUAUUGCAAACUUUAAGGUUAUUUAAGUGAAGCUGUUCUGGUCUGCAGAAAUUGCUAUACUGUCUUCUUGAGAUAACAUACUGGCUUUCGGUCAUGUUAUAGACGCAGCAAACUCCUCACCACAGUAGCGGAGUCGACCUUUUCCACACAUUUUGGAAAGAAGAAGUCGCAUCGCAAAUAAAUUCAUUAAACUCUCACGCUUCCUCGUGAAACUUUGGUCAGAGCCACUUCCCAGCCCUCUGAUGAGAAACCAUUCUCCACAGUGUGUAGAUGCUUCUGCGUAUCCUACCUCCUUAGAGAGACGAUUGGGAAGGAGCGGGGAUGAGAUUGGAGAAGGUCACGGGGAAAUCUGGAGCCUUUGGUGAUGGUUUUGUUUGCUGUGUUAAUGCUGUGUGCUGGGGUGCAGGGCAGUGACCUUGUGGCCACCUUAGCAUUGGGACAGCACAACCUUGUAACCAUGAGUACGAGGAAAUUUCUUUCUGUCCUUGGCCUGCAGUUUCUCUGUGUGUUUUGUGUUACUCUCAUACUUGUUCUAGAAAAAAAAGGAAGGGAAACACAUUGUCCCCAGAGGUAAAGGCUGCUAUUUUUGGGGGGGGGGUCUGGACUUAGAACCUGAAAAUUUUGGCAAUCUGUAACUAACUCUCCAUAGUCUUUACUUGUCCUAUGUGAUGUGUUUUCCCCUUGAGAUACCAUAAGCCUUUUUCCUUGACAGAUCUCUUUAUAAUGUCUUUCUAAAGAUUUCACAUAAACUUCAGUGUUUUCAUUUAGUUCUUUUAAAGUUGCUAUUUUAAUAUUUUGUGUAUCAAUAUUUUCAUUCUUAAUGUGAAUAAAUGGGAUUAUUUAUACUUAUUAUAGAAGACAUUUGAAAUUUGCACAUUUAGUUGUCUCUGAUAGAAAACUGUUGACUCUCUAUUGGCUUUCUUCAAGUUUUCCUAAAUUUAAAUGUAACUUUUCACAGAAGUCAAGAUUAAAAAGUAAAUUAUUUAAGAACAAAUGCUGAUGUUUUCUGUUUACGAAUGAUGAAAGAAAAAGGCCCCAAUAUUAAGACCACACUUCCCAAACAACUUUAUUUCAAGGAACACCUGGGCAGGGGGUACAUCUCUCACCCAUAGGUAUUAAGAGAACUUACUGUUAAGGGUAAGGCAUCUGGUUUAACAGGGAAAACAUGGAGGCCCAGAGGGAAGUAGGAAAGAUGUGCCAGUGCCUGUUACCUGUGCUCCUCUGAAGUUUCCUGCCCUCAGCCUUAAGUACAGAGAGAAAAGACAAGGGGGCGGAGCAGAGAGAGACGGGAAGGAAAGAAAUCAGAGGGGAGGAAGGAGUAUAAGACCUCUGAGUCAGAUCUUAGAAGAGGCGACCUAUGACUGUGAUGGCCAUGAGGACCGGCGGCACCAGAGUCCUGGGAAAUUAUAAACGGCCCGUUCUUCCACCCAAUACAAAUGUACCUAUAGAAGAUUGAUGCCGAAGGACUGUGCAGCUCCUGGAAUCUCUCUUUUUUUUAAAGCUGCCCAGGAGAUUCUGAUCAUCAGCCAGAUUUUAGAACCAUGCAUUUAAAGAAAUAUUUAUAAUAUUUCUAAACUUACUGUGGAAAAUUGUAACAUACAAGAAAACAGAUAAGAGUAUCAUGAACCCCCAUAUAUCUCUCAUCCCGUUUCAACAGUUAGAAACAUCUUGCCAAAUUUGUUUCAUCUGUCACCUCUUUUUUUUUCUGGAUUAUUUUAAAGCAAAUUUCAGAUAUUGUGUCCUCACACAAAUACAUCAGUGUGCAUCUCUGAUUGUUAAGAAUAGGUUCUUUUUCUAUAACCACCAUUAUUACACCCAGCUAAAUUAUUUUUAAUACCAUCCAAUUCUUAAGUUUGUAUUCUAAUUUCUCACAUUUUCCACUAUACAGAGUCCCAUUGCUUUUGUUUUCUUUUUUUUUUUUUUCGGUACGUGUGCCUCUCACUGUUGUGGCCUCUCCCGUUGCAGAGCA